UACGUAGGGGGGCAAGCGUUGUCCGGAAUCAUUGGGCGUAAAGGGCGCGUAGGCGGUUCGUACAGUCAGACGUGAAAUUCCUGGGCUCAACCUGGGGGGCUGCGUUUUGAUACGUGCGGACUUGAGUGCGGAAGAGGGUCGUGGAAUUCCCAGUGUAGAGGUGAAAAUUCGUAGAUAUUGGGAAGAACACCGGGUGGCGAAGGCGGCGACCUGGUCCGAUACUGACGCUGAGGCGCGAAAAGCGUGGGGGAGCAAACAGG
rnacentral:rRNA from 1 species